AAAGGAAUAGACGGGGACCCGCACAAGCAGCGGAGCAUGUGGUUUAAUUCGAAGCAACGCGAAGAACCUUACCUGGACUUGACAUCCCUUUGCAAAGUCCUUAAUCGGACUCCUACCUUCGGGUACAAAGGAGACAGGUGGUGCAUGGUUGUCGUCAGCUCGUGUCGUGAGAUGUUGGGUUAAGUCCCGCAACGAGCGCAACCCUUGUCAUUAGUUGCCAUCAGUUAGGCUGGGCACUCUAGUGAGACUGCCAAGGUAAACUUGGAGGAAGGUGGGGAUGACGUCAAAUCAUCAUGCCCCUUAUGUUCAGGGCUACACACGUGCUACAAUGGCCGAUACAACGGGCAGCCAAGGAGUAAUCCGGAGCAAAUCCUAAAAAAUCGGUCCUAGUUCGGAUUGUGGGCUGCAACUCGCCCACAUGAAGUCGGAGUUGCUAGUAAUCGUGAAUCAGAAUGUCGCGGUGAAUGCGUUCCCGGGUCUUGUACACACCGCCCGU
rnacentral:rRNA from 1 species